GACGAACGCUGGCGGCGUGCUUAACACAUGCAAGUCGAACGGUAAGGCCCUUCGGGGUACACGAGUGGCGAACGGGUGAGUAACACGUGGGUGAUCUGCCCUGCACUUCGGGAUAAGCCUGGGAAGCUGGGUCUAAUACCGGAUAGGACCCUGGGAUGCAUGUCCUGGGGUGGAAAGCUUUUGCGGUGUGGGAUGGGCCCGCGGCCUAUCAGCUUGUUGGUGGGGUGAUGGCCUACCAAGGCGACGACGGGUAGCCGGCCUGAGAGGGUGACCGGCGACACUGGGACUGAGAUACGGCCCAGACUCCUACGGGAGGCAGCAGUGGGGAAUAUUGCACAAUGGGCGCAAGCCUGAUGCAGCGACGCCGCGUGAGGGAUGACGGCCUUCGGGUUGUAAACCUCUUUCAGCACCGACGAAGCGCAAGUGACGGUAGGUGCAGAAGAAGGACCGGCCAACUACGUGCCAGCAGCCGCAGUAA
rnacentral:rRNA from 1 species